UACGUAGGGUGCAAUCGUUGUCCGGAUUUAUUGGGUUUAAAGGGUGCGUAGGUGGCUGAUUAAGUCAUGGGUGAAAGCCCGCAGCUCAACUGUGGAAUUGCCUGUGAUACUGAUUAGCUUGAGUGCGGUUGAGGCAGCUGGAAUUGGUGGUGUAGCGGUGAAAUGCAUAGAUACCACCAGGAACACCGAUUGCGAAGGCAGGUUGCUAGGCCGUAACUGACACUGAGGCACGAAAGCGUGGGGAGAAAACAGG
rnacentral:rRNA from 1 species